UACGGAGGGGGCUAGCGUUGUUCGGAAUUACUGGGCGUAAAGCGUGCGCAGGCGGUUUUGUAAGUCUGUCGUGAAAUCCCCGGGCUCAACCUGGGAAUUGCGAUGGAGGCUGCAAGGCUAGAAUCUGGCAGAGGGGGGUAGAAUUCCACGUGUAGCAGUGAAAUGCGUAGAGAUGUGGAGGAACACCGAUGGCGAAGGCAGCCCCCUGGGUCAAGAUUGACGCUCAUGCACGAAAGCGUGGGGAGCAAACAGG
rnacentral:rRNA from 1 species